rnacentral:pre_miRNA from 1 species
UAUCUCGGUGCGAUCGUACCGUAUCGCUCACACUUAGAUUACGGUACGAUCGCGGCGGGAUAUC